rnacentral:rRNA from 1 species
ACGCUCGACACCUACUGGAGGCAGCAGUGGGGAAUAUUGGGCAAUGGGCGAAAGCCUGACCCAGCAACGCCGCGUGAGGGAAGAAGGUUUUCGGAUUGUAAACCUCUGUCCUCAGGGACGAAGGACGUGACGGUACCUGAGGAGGAAGCCCCGGCUAACUACGUGACAGCAGCCGCGGUAAUCUGAGCGGGCUGGCAAGGC